rnacentral:rRNA from 1 species
GACGAACGCUGGCGGCGUGCUUAACACAUGCAAGUCGAACGGAAAGGCCCUGCUUUUGUGGGGUGCUCGAGUGGCGAACGGGUGAGUAACACGUGAGUAACCUGCACUUGACUUUGUGGUAACUUCAGGAAACUGGGGCUAAUACCGGAUAGGAGCUCCUGCUGCAUGGUGGGGGUUGGUAAGUUUCGGCGGUUGGGGCUGGUUUCGCUGGUUAUCAGCUUGUUGGGGGGGUAGUGGCUUACCAAGGGUUUGAAGGAUAGGCGGCCUGGGAGGGUUACCGGGCACAAUGGGACUGAGAGACGGACCAGAAUCGAACGGGAGGCAGCGGGGGGGAAUAUUGCAGAAUGGGCGGAAGCGUGAUGCAGCAACGUCGGGUGCGGAAUGACGGCCUUCGGGGUGUAAACCGAUUUGGCCUGUGCCGAAGCGAGAGUGACGGUAAUGGGUAAAAAAGCACCGGCUAACUACGUG